UUUCACAGAAGUGGGAUUGACUUGGAGUUACAUUGUGGUGUUUAAGUGUUCCCUCUAUUUUUUUGAGCAGUGUAUAAAGAUGGUGACUCUUAUUUAAUAGGAACUAAUGAUAUUACAGAGGCUGGAAGCUAAAGGGGUCUCCAGCUUAUGAAUAGAUAUUGCACUGUGUAUGGCUGCAUUGCUAGAUUAUAUUGACUCCUUAGUAAUAUGUAGUGUAGCUCGUCCUUCUGGUGUGAUGACGGCUUUUGUUCCUCACCUGCUUGCUGUGUCUGGCCGCGGAUGGGAUGACUCCGGGGACCGUCUCCGGCAGUGUUAAAGGCGGCCACACUGAUGAGUGAGGAGAAACAAUAAAAGUGAACAGCGACCGUCUUGACCGAACACAAAAUCCUCCGGAGAACAAUUCAGCACUUUCCGAAUAGGAAAUCAAUAGAUAAGGAGACGGCACGAUCAUCACUUUAUAGGUAUCCAUUACCUGUACAGAACCAGUAAGUGAGAAAGGGGCUGAGGACAAAGAGCUAGAAACCCAAGGAUGGGAGGGUGUGACGGUGCUGACUGUCAGAUAGCGGACAGUACUUGCCAAUGUGGCACACUGGGUAUAUGCCCAGGGCUGCCAUAGAUAGUGGGCCGCAGAUAAAUAGACACCCCUAAAAUCUUGUGGGUGCAAGUCAUGGCCUAGCCUGCGCCUCUCUUCUCUCUCAAAUAGUACUGAGGUGGCUCUUGUGAUUUCCUCUGUUUCUCUACCUGUAGUAUAUGUACCCCACUAUAUGGCACCUGCUUCUGUGGCUGACCCUUGCACUGUGGCCGGCUGCCCCCUUUAUUAGGGCAUGGAUGCA